GCCGACCUCUGCAUGCUACCAGAGAGAGUGUGCGGCCCAGUGUUACCUGUCAUAACACGAGCUACCUGGAGCCCUGGAGCACCAGCCUGACCAGGCCACUGGGCAGCUAGAAAUAAUAGAGACUGGCAAGAGGGCAAUGAGGGGUCACACGAAGGGAGAGAGGAGGGGGACAAGGACAUACGACAAGAGGACUGGUGGAAAGAUGAAGGCAGGAGAGUGAGAGUGAGAAGAGAGGAAAGAGAAAUGUAGUGGAGUGAGAAGAGCUGUGAGGAUAAUGAUGUGGGAGCAAGUGGGUCAAUCAAGGAGCAAAAAGAGGAUUAUAAAAGAGAGGUAAGCCACUACACGUGGGGAGUCUGAGCAGCUGGAUUUCAUUAAUUGAGUGCUGGCAGCAUUCUGCUCUGGCGGCAGGGCGAGGAUUGAGAAUAGCCAAGGAGGGUUUGGAACUGAGGGCGAGGACUACAGUACAGCCUGUGGCCCAGGAGAGUGGCAGCUGCUGAUGUCCUCACCUCUGAGUGACCUGGCACCCUAGCAACCUCAAUGAAGAAUGGAUGGAGGGCAGGAGGCGGGGGCAUUAUGAGGAGGAGGGUAGUUGGCACUCAGGCCCAAGUCAUAUAGAUAAUGAAUCCAGAGCUAAAUGGAAUUUGGAAGCCCUCUAGUGGUGUAAGAGAGUAGAGACAAACACCCACAUGGGGUAUAAAGAUACAGUAUCAUGAACACUAUAAAUACUGUGUAAUAUCAAACCCAAUUAUUACUCUCUGUUUAUAAAGUAUUUGUAAUCAGUAUUUAAUAAUAAAAGGGUCAAAAUACAGCAGUCAGGUUUUUAACUACAACUAAGAAACAAGAACAAAUUACCCCAAUUUUAUUAUGCCCCCAUUGGCAUCCAGUUACUUUUAAAAACUAAAUUUGAAGAUUAUAGUAAAUGGACUAGCUCCAAAUCACAUUUGCAGCAUUGUUAUGAAAGUACCAAAGGUUUCGGAUGGCAAUUUGAUUAAUUCACUGAUGAUUAUUGUGCCAAAACCGAAAAGCAUGAAAAGACAAGUCACACACUC